GCAAUUGCCACCGAAGAAGAAAUUUAUUGGAAAGAGGGGAGAGGAAAAAAAUGGAAGAAGAAAAGUAGAGAGGGAGACACGAAACAGAGUAACCGUCUGCUAUUCCCCGUGGUCACCGCCGGAGAGAAAACCCUAAAGAGAAGCUCGGGGAAUGCUUUUUCUCCGUGCCAUCUCCGCUGUCGUCUUCAUCUGGGUUCUCUAUGUUGGAAAAGAUUUGAGGAUGGCCCCUAUGGUGCAUAAGAUGUCAUUGGUGGAUAGAAUGCUCUUAGUAGCGGAUGAUUUAUUUCAUAAAAAUCCAUACAUUCACGCUGCAUGGCAUCUUGCAGCCACAAUUAGUGUCAGUACCUGCAACAAGCUCCUUGAUCUACUUGAAUUUGAAUUUGAAGGUGGUGGUUUUGAAGAAAUGAAGGGAAAAUGAGGAGCAAGCUGCUGUCUCUUAUUACAGUUCUUUGGGGACUUGUUUUUGCAUUGGAACACACAGUUAUACUACAUUUAAGGAUAUCUUGGGUAAGGUAAAUUUAUAAUCAGUAAUAUGAGUAAACAUUUUGCAUUUAUAGAGGCCAUGGCUAGCCUCUAUUGGUUUUUUGGCAUUCGGAAGUGAUAAAUUUCAGCAUUUAUUUUAGGAUGAAAAUGAAAAUUGACAAUGCUAAUCUUAUCUUAGUCAGGUAGAUAGUUUCAAGCUUUAUAUUUUUUCUUUUGGUCUGUCUUUUUAAUGUACUGUAAAUUUU